GAUGGGCCCGCGGGCCUAUCAGCUAGUUGGUGAGGUAAUGGCUCACCAAGGCUAAGACGGGUAGCUGGUCUGAGAGGAUGGUCAGCCACACUGGAACUGAGACACUGUCCAGACACCUACGGGUGGCUGCAGUCGAGAAUCUUUCGCAAUGGGGGAAACCCUGACGACGCGACGCCGCGUGAGCGAUGAAGGCCUUCGGGUCGUAAAGCUCUGUUUGCUGGGAAGAAAUAUUUUGGUCGAAUAGCCCAAAAGGAUGACGGUACCAGCAGAGGAAGUCACGGCUAACUCCGUGCCAGCAGCCGCGGUAAUACGGAGGUGGCAAGCGUUGUUCGGAUUUAUUGGGUGUAAAGGGUAUGUAGGUUGUUAUUUAAGUCGAGAGUGAAAUCCUUUGGCUCAACCAAAGAACUGCUCUCGAAACUAUCUAACUUGAGUUCAGGAGAGGAAAGCGGAAUUCCAGGUGUAAGAGUGAAAUCUGUAGAGAUCUGGAGGAACACCAGUGGCGAAGGCGGCUUUCUGGACUGACACUGACACUGAAAUACGAAAGCUAGGGGAGCAAACAGGAUUAGAUACCCUGGUAGUCCUAGCCGUAAACGAUGGGCACUAGGUGUCGGAGCGCAAGCUUCGGUGCCGCAGCU
rnacentral:rRNA from 1 species